AUUAGUGGUAUAUAAUGUGAGACGAUCUAGCAAGUAGCAUCAUUAGUCGUCCACUGUGCUUAAACCUGUUCGGUUAAUACUAAUUUUUGAUAAUUUUAAACUCUUACGUUUAACUACCUACUAUUUUGAAAUCAUGAAGCCAAUCGUUGCUAUUUACUUCGCUCUUGUAGCUCUCUGCGUCGUCUUCAGCUUUGCUGAAGCUACCAUUUGCGCCAGAGAUCGUCGUUCCGGUGGUCCCCAAAACUUCGCUAACAUUGCUGCGAUGAAUGCUGAAAACGCUCGAGGUGGACAAUAUGACUGGGUGCACAAUGGAGCUUGCUAAAUACCGUUGAAAACCAUCCGUCAUGUCAUCAGUUAUCAGUUACCAUUAUCAGCAAGUAAAAAAUAAACAAUGUGAAAAAAUACGUAGAUUAAAAAACUAAAUCGAUAGAAACUUUGUAGCAUAUGUAAAAUCAAAAUAAUAAUAAAUCCAUUUCUUCAAAUUAA